AUGGCAAUCCGCGCAGUAUGCGCCGUGCCAGAGUCGAGUAAAACGGGGAAACGGGGAGAUUAAAAUAUUUUCGGCAACGGAUUUAAAUUUAGGAAAUUAGGAUCAGGAGAGGACAUAGGAUAUAGGUAACUACUACUAGUACUAAAUACAUAACGACUAAAAUAUUAAAUACAAGAACAACAGGUUUAUAUCUUAAUACUAUUGAAAUUUAAGUAUGAAAUAAUACAUUUAUAUACAUUUAUACAGUUUAAGUAUAGUAGACAUACUAUAGAGGUUGGGAACGGAAUAUGGAGAGAGAUUAAUGAGUUCAGGAGGACAUUUCGGUUACUGUAACGAGGACAAGUGAAGAGAAUAUGAUUGAGAUCCUCGACCUCUAUCCCACACUCACACAUUUCGUCAUUAAUAAUGCGUAGUUUAUAUAGAUGAGCACGUGUGCAAGUAUGUCCUAAACGCAUUCUUGUAAUGAUGGAUGUUUCCAUCUUGUUAAAUUUAGUUUUGAAGAACCAUGGCUUCAACGGAAUUGUUGGUUGAAUUUUAUAAAAUGUUCUCCCUUUAGUUACACUACUAUCCUCCCAUUCUUCUUGCCAUUUCUGUAUAUAUUGAAGUUUAGGUAACGUCACUAAGUCGUGAGAAUAAUUCAGAUAGGGGAACAAGUCUCCACAAUGCACUGCCUCAUUUGCUAGCCGAUCAGAUAUUUCAUUUCCCCUGAUGUUUCUGUGACUGGGAAUCCAAGCAAAAUGUACAGUAAGUCCUUUCAAAAAACAAUCAUAAAGAGCACUUCUAAUUUGGUAUAUUAUUGGAAAUUGUGUUUUAGUUUUAAAUGGGAACCUUUCUAGAGCUUGUAAGGCACUUUUUGAGUCUGUAAAGACAACAGAUUUUUUUAGUUUUGUUAUUGUAAUAUAUUCCACGGCUUUAAAUAGUCCAAAACAUUCUCCAGUGAAUAUGGUGGAUUCAGGAGGUAAUUUAAUUUUUUGAACAAUGUUGUACUGUGAAUGAUAAACUCCAACGCCAGUGCAGGUAUCAACAGAAUGUUUGGAGCCAUCGGUGUAAAUAUGGUGGAAAUCAUUGAAUUCUGAAUCAACAAUUAAGUUGAAAUAAUAAACUGCAUUUCUGUCUGAUUUUUCAAUAGGGAGAUAGUGUAUAAUUGGCGGAGUUAGAAGAGACUCUAGACUACAGUUAAAUAAUGGAAGAUAAUUAGAACGAUGAGUUGGAGAACUCAAUGAAGAGAAUUUCCGGAAACUAAUAAUUAAACAAGGUAAUGUUUUAUUUGCCCAAUAACUUGAAUUCGGUAUCAUAUCGGAUAGAGUUUGAAGUUUAGCUACAAGUGGAUGGUUAUCAAAUUGUAUUAUGCGGAAUAAAAAUUUAUCUGAAAGUAAUUGGCGUCUCAACCUUAAUGGUGAGUCGCAACACUCUACUUGGAGUGCGUUUAUGGGACUGGAUUUCAUUGCGCCUGUAACUAUUCUUAAAGCCUUUGACUGUAUUUUAUCUAGAUUUUUGAAACUUGUAAUACUUCCGGGCUCUAAUAAAAACAUUCCGUAAUCUAAUACUGAUCUGAUAAGGGCGUUGUAUACAAGUUUUAAUGAGAAGGGAUGAGCACCCCACCAUACACCAGCCAAACACCUUAGUAAAUUUAAAAGACGUUCACAUUUACCUACAACAUAUUCACAAUGUGAGCUGCCAGUGAGUUUUGAGUCAAGAACUAAACCUAAAAAUUUAUGUUCUGUCUUUAAUGGAAUAGUAAUGUUAUUGUAAUAUACUUGGAUUGGUGGCGGAGCUCGUUUUCUAGUAAAAAUAACAGCAGCACUUUUGGAAGCAGAUAUUUCCAACCCAUUUUUGUCCAUCCAUAUUUUUAGAAGAUCUAGAGUGGCCGUAAUAGAGCUGCAGGCGUCUUCAACAGAUUUAUUAUUGGUAUAAAUUAAUAGGUCAUCCGCAUAUUGCAGAAUUUUAAUAUUAUCAUAUAAGCUAGAAUCUAAAUCAUAUGUAUAAACAUUAUAUAAUAGUGGGCUGAGAACAGAGCCUUGCGGCAGGCCUUUCCAAACUGAUCGUGUAUCUAUCAUAUCAGAACCAGUUAGAGAGAUAUUACGGCCAUAUAAAGCAUUUAGGAUGAAAUUUGUAAAUUUCCAAGAAACCUGAAGGGCUAAAAGUUUCUGUUUUAAAACGUCUAUAAGUACAUUAUCAUAUGCGGCGGAAAUAUCCAAAAAAGUUGCAAGUACAGAUUCAUUAUUAGUGAAUGCUAGUCGGAUGUCAGAAAUAAAAAUACUGAUGCUAUCCAAUGUGCAUUUUCCUUUCCUAAAACCGUACUGACUAUCCGAUAUUAAGCCUUUACUUUCAAAAUGCCACUCUAAACGAUUUUUAAUAAGAUGUUCUAUUAGUUUUAAUAGGAUGGAUGAUAAGGCUAUAGGGCGAUAUGAAGAAGCGUCAGAUAGGGGUUUAUUCGGUUUACACACUGGCAACACUACUUGUGUUUUCCAUUCUGACGGGAGAGUUCCUGUGUUUACAAAUGAAUUGAUGAGCUGUAAAUAAUAACCUAAAAUGUUGUCACUGAGAUGAGUAAAGAAAGAAUAUGUGCUUUAGGUUUAUUAUAUGGAAAGGAAAUUAAAAUAGGGAAAUGGUCACUUCCAUAUGAGGACGGCAGGGUGCACCAGGUUAAGGAAGAGGCCAAACUUGGUGUACAAAUGGAGAGGUCAACUGCACUAACAUUUUGAUUUGGUGCUGUGAGGCGUGUGGGAGAGCCAGUAUUUAAAGUACAGAGGUUAUUACUGUCAAUUAUAUCAAGAAGUGCUUCACCAUAAUUGUUUGACACUGUACUACCCCAUGUCUGAUGGUGAGAGUUGAAAUCCCCUAAUAAUAAAAAUGGUCUUGGUAAGGAAGAGAUGAUCUGAUCAAUUUCAUUAAUAAUAGACAAAGAGGGAUGUGGAAUAUAUACAGAGGCUAUACAUAUAUUACAUACACUUACAGCUAAAAUAGAAAAAUCUUCACUAUGUACAGGCAAAUUUACAGGAGAGAAUGGGACGGAGUUCCUGAUGAAAAUAGCCACUCCACCAUAUCCAUCAGGUCUGUCUUCUCUAAGGCAAUGGGCUGGCAGAAACAACAUCCGCAAAGGAUUUGGAGGCAGGUGGAUGUAGCUUUGAGGCUUCCGCGUAUGAAACACAAUUAUGGGCCAUAUAAUGUUUUAUUUGCUUCUGGCAAGACAGCUCUGGACAAGCUUUGCUGGUGGCUAAAUGGGAACCGGAACAUAAGCAGCAAAAAGCGUUAUCUUCCUCCACCAUACAGGAGUCACCAGUGUGAUCAUGACCACACUUGUAACAGCGUGGUUUCGACCGACACUGUACCUUUGUGUGGCCAAAGCGGCAACAGUUGUAACACUGUAUGGUAGGGAAGAUAUAUAGUUCCACCGGAAGUGCAUUAUAACAAAUAAAAAUACGCUUCGGCAAGACCUGGCCGUCGAAAGUGAUCACAGCAGAUUGUGACGGUUUCCAUACUGGUGUACCAUUAAUAAAGGUUUUAUAAUUGA